GACAGAGGAUGCAAGCGUUAUCCGGAAUGAUUGGGCGUAAAGCGUCUGUAGGUGGCUUUUCAAGUCCGCCGUCAAAUCCCAGGGCUCAACCCUGGACAGGCGGUGGAAACUACCAAGCUGGAGUACGGUAGGGGCAGGUGGAACUUCCAGUGGAGCGGUGAAAUGCGUUGAUAUUGGAAGGAACGCCGGUGGCGAAAGCGACCUGCUGGACCUCUUCUGACGCUGAUGCGCGAAAGCUAGGGGAGCGAACGGG
rnacentral:rRNA from 1 species